rnacentral:misc_RNA from 1 species
AAGUCGUAACAAGGUUUCCGUAGGUGAACCUGCGGAAGGAUCAUCAAUGAAAUUUUUUCUUCAUUUCAUAUUAACCAAGGGAAAGUUGAAUUUUUUUUUGACUUUCUCCAGUUCUUAACUUUUUUUAUUUGGGAAGUUGGAGUUGAUUUUCUAUUAUAUUAGAGAAUUCUCCAAAUAUUCUAAACAAAUUCAUCAUAAUAUGGAGGGAAGUUGUUUUUUUUCUUCUUCUCUUCUAUUUUUUUCAAUUUUAUAAGUUUUUUUUAUUGAUUUUUCAAUCAUAAAAAUACAACUUUUAGCAAUGGAUCUCUAGGCUCUC